AUUGAACGCUGGCGGCAUGCUUUACACAUGCAAGUCGAACGGCAGCGGGGAGGAGCUUGCUUCUCUGCCGGCGAGUGGCGCACGGGUGAGUAAUACAUCGGAACGUGUCGAGAAGAGGGGGAUAACCACCCGAAAGGGUGGCUAAUACCGCAUAAAUUCUGAGGAAGAAAGCUGGGGACCUAGGAAUAGGCCUAGCGCUUUUUGAGCGGCCGAUGUCGGAUUAGCUAGUUGGUGAGGUAAAGGCUCACCAAGGCGAAGAUCUGUAGCGGGUCUAAGAGGAUGAUCCGCCACACUGGGACUGAGACACGGCCCAGACUCCUACGGGAGGCAGCAGUGGGGAAUUUUGGACAAUGGGGGCAACCCUGAUCCAGCCAUGCCGCGUGUAUGAAGAAGGCCUUAGGGUUGUAAAGUACUUUUGUUAGGGAAGAAAAGUCAGCUGUGAAUAAUGGCUGAUACUGACGGUACCUAAAGAAUAAGCACCGGCUAACUACGUG
rnacentral:rRNA from 1 species